rnacentral:rRNA from 1 species
UCUACGGGUGGCAGCAGUGGGGAAUAUUGCACAAUGGGGGAAACCCUGAUGCAGCAACGCCGCGUGGGUGAAGGAGCGUUUCGGCGCGUAAAGCCCUGUCAGCGGGGAAGAAGAAAGACGGUACCCGACCAAGAAGCCCCGGCUAACUACGUGCCAGCAGCCGCGGUAAUACGGAGGGGGCGCUCGUUAUCCGGAAUUACUGGGUGUAAAGGGAGCGUAGACGGCGAGGUAAGGCUGAAGUGGACGCCCGCGGCGCAACCGGGGAACUGCUUGUGGGACUGUUUUGCUGGAGUAGGGGAGGGGUAGGCGGAAUUCGUGGUGUAGCGGUGAAA